GGGCUUAUGGUCUAGGGGUAUGAUUUUCGCUUCGCACUGAUCUGAUAUCCUCAGAUAGCGACUGUGAAAGGUCCGGGGUUCAAAUCCCCGUGAGUCCA